rnacentral:rRNA from 15 species
AAGAGAGGUCCCCAUGACCCAUAUGCACAGGGCCGCCGUUGUGCUGCGAUGGGUUCCACAAAAUGACGCAACGCCGCAAGGCUGAGCUAAUCACCAAAUGAACCCACACGGAUUGUAGCCUGCAAUCGGCUACAUGAAAUAGGAAUUGCGAGUAAUCGUGGAGUAGUGCGCCACGGUGAAAAUACCACUCGGGAUGUACUAAUUACUCGUCACAUCUGGAAAGAGUCUAUCAAAUGAAACUGGG